UAUACUUAGACUAAAUAACAUAUGAUUUUUACUGUAUGAUAAUAGCAUUAAAUCAACGUAAAUUCCAUAUUUUUCGAAUUGGUGCUUAGCGGGCUGAUAUGAAAAGUUUAUCACAUGCUUCGAGUGUUAUCACAUGCCUUUCCGUAACGUUAUCGCAUGGCAUUCCGGUGAUACUCGGCAAAUUCCGGAAAAUAUACAUCAAUGCUACAUUUUCAUUAAAAAAACUUACAAAGUAGUGUACAAUCUCAAUUUUAUUAAGAAAACAAUUAUUUGGAUACUGGAA
rnacentral:lncRNA from 1 species